rnacentral:rRNA from 1 species
UUGAACGCUGGCGGCAUGCCUUACCCCUGCAAGUCGAACGGCAGCGCGGACUUCGGUCUGGCGGCGAGUGGCGAACGGGUGAGUAAUACAUCGGAACGUACCCUGUUGUGGGGGAUAACUAGUCGAAAGAUUAGCUAAUACCGCAUACGACCUGAGGGUGAAAGUGGGGGACCGCAAGGCCUCACGCAGCAGGAGCGGCCGAUGUCUAAUUAGCUAGUUGGUGGGGUAAAGGCCCACCAAGGCGACGAUCAGUAGCUAGUCUGAGAGGACGAUCAGCCACACUGGGACUGAGACACGGCCCAGACUCCUACGGGAGGCAGCAGUGGGGAAUUUUGGACAAUGGGGGCAACCCUGAUCCAGCAAUGCCGCGUGUGUGAAGAAGGCCUUCGGGUUGUAAAGCACUUUUGUCCGGAAAGAAAUCGCGCUGGUUAAUACCUGGCGUGGAUGACGGUACCGGAAGAAUAAGCACCGGCUAACUACGUG